UGGGGAAUUUUGGACAAUGGGGGAAACCCUGAUCCAGCCAUCCCGCGUGUGCGAUGAAGGCCUUCGGGUUGUAAAGCACUUUUGGCAGGAAAGAAACGUCAUGGGUUAAUACCCCGUGACACUGACGGUACCUGCAGAAUAAGCACCGGCUAACUACGUGCCAGCAGCCGCGGUAAUACGUAGGGUGCAAGCGUUAAUCGGAAUUACUGGGCGUAAAGCGUGCGCAGGCGGUUCGGAAAGAAAGAUGUGAAAUCCCAGAGCUCAACUUUGGAACUGCAUUUUUAACUACCGGGCUAGAGUGUGUCAGAGGGAGGUGGAAUUCCGCGUGUAGCAGUGAAAUGCGUAGAUAUGCGGAGGAACACCGAUGGCGAAGGCAGCCUCCUGGGAUAACACUGACGCUCAUGCACGAAAGCGUGGGGAGCAAACAGG
rnacentral:rRNA from 1 species